rnacentral:lncRNA from 1 species
GUAGGGCUAGUCUGCUAGUGCCAACUAAGGUCAUUUUCAUGCCAGUAAGUGCUCUCUCUCUCUCUCUUUUUUUUUUUCUUGUUAUUUUUUAAAUUUUGUUUUUAUUUUAUUUCUAUCAAAACUGAUUUUGUUUAUUAUUUAAAUAAUUUUAUAAGUUAUUGGCAUAAGUCUUGUUAUUUACUUAAUUUUAUUGAAUAACUCUUAUAGAUGUUUAGACUUGAUUCUUAAUAAACUUUAAGUAUAAAUGAAAAAAGUUUGAGAGCUCAGAGAGAAUUUUUUUAUUUAAAAAGCUUGUAUUAAAUAAUACAUUUUAUUGAAGAAUUCUUAUGAAAAAUUUAGACUUGAUUCAAUAAAAUUUUGUUUUUUAUAAACUUCAAGUAUAUAUGAAAGAGGCUUCAAAGCUUUUAAGGGAGCUUGUGUUGAAGAAAAUUUUAUAUCUCUAAAAAUAUUUUUUUUUUUAGGGUGAGGCUUUUUAUUUAAAGAGAUUUGUAGAGACUUUCAGGUUUUUUUUUAAUACCACAUGAUAUUUUUUUAUUGGUUGAUCUUAUUUAUGAGAUCUUAUAUUUAUAACAAGAUAUUUUAAAUAUCUUAUCUUAUAUGUUAAUUUUUUACUAAUCAAGAAAUAUAUAAAAAUUAAUUUAUUUUUCAUAUCAUUUAUAUCAAUUUUAUUUUAUUUUUUCAUGUAAAAAUAAAAUAAAAAUAAUACAUGAGGCAAUUUAAUUGGUAAUAUGUUUUUUGUUUAUACAGCUGCGUUAAUAUAUCUGUUUACUUGACAGUAAACAAAUCUGGAUAUGUCUAACAUGUGAUAAAUCUAUAUCAGACAAUGCCCAUAUCUUAAGGGAAUAGUUUCAAUUGAUUUCCUCCAAUCCCUGAACAAAAUUCUAUUAUACCCAAAAAAGAAAAACAAAAGAACAGAGAAGGUAUUCCAUUCAAUAAAAGGUAUAAUGGACUUGGGGAUCAUGCGGUGUAGUUAUUCAUCUCUUCCUUCCUUAAUUUAUGUUCUUGCAACAAAUGCAGUAUACUGAAGUGAUGAAUUGGAAGAGGGUUGAUCAUGAAAACCGGCUUCAAUAUUGAAAUAUUUAAGUUCAUACAAUCUCACCCCAGCUCUAUAUAUAUAUAUAUAGCCCAUGCAUACAGCAUAAUAUCCCAACCUACUAAGCCACACCAAAGCAUAUAUAUAUUACAGACCAUCAGAGUUUUUGAAAGCACAAGAAAAGGAGAAAUUAGAGUAGGGAAGAUGAAGAGGAGAAGAAAAAAGGGUCGGUCUGCUGCCAGUAUCGGAGGCUUGCUGGGACGGAUCGAUGAUAUCUUCUACAGGCUGCGUAAGUUCCUAAAAUAGUCAGCAGGAUUUGCUUCAAAGUCAUCCCUUAGAAUGCGAAAAUCCUGCCCUGGUGCUUUCAUUGUCCUACCUCCAUACCUGUUCUUCUUAAGACAUUUGCAGCAGCAACAAAUCAUCAGGAGGCCUAUCACUGCCACUGCAACAACUGCAGUCACGUUUUGUUUUGUAAACCACUUGACCACAUGUACCAUUACACCAGAAGCCAUAAAUUUCUUUAUUAGAUCUGAAAGCAUGUGAAUGAAAUCAGAAACUGGAUCAAAAGCCAGAAAUUUCUUCAUAAGAUGAGAAGACUGGUGGGAAAUUGUGGAAAGAGAAGUUGGUGGUUCCAUUGAAUGCGAUCUGUAUAUUAAUGAAUGGGGAGGGGACUAGUGUUUAUAGAUAAGGAAGAGAAUGAAGGGGAUGUAUUUAAAGAUAAAUAAGAAGGGAUCACAAAAUUUAGGGUGACUUCACAUUUAAGAAAAUGCUGUGUCAUGUAGUGCUCUUUGGAACUUCGAGCAUCGUUUUUCAGAUGUAAGCAUCUGUUAGAUUAAUUUGAUGUGAUGCUCCACCAUCCACCCACUAGCUUUUGACAAAACAAAGCAAAAGUAAGAAAUCAGAACAAAGAAAAGAAAAGAAAAGAAAGUUAAAGAGAAACACGAUGAUGGAGCAUCGACUUCUUUUUUCUUCUUUUUUUGUUCGUCAAAAAAGGUAGUAGUAGGAUUUAGGCAACAUGCUGUUAAAUAUAAGAUAG